CUCUAGCGGCUGUCUCAUUGACAGCCACUAGAGGCGCUUGCGUGCUUCUCACUGUGAUUUUCACAGUGAGAGCACGCAAGCGUCCAUAGGAAAGCAUUAUGAAUGCUUUCCUAUGUGACCAGCUGAAUGCGCGCGCAGCUCUUGCCGCGCGUGCGCAUUCAGCCCAGGAGGAGGAACGGAGGAGGAUCGGAAGAGGAGAGCUCCCCGCCCAGCGCUGGAAAAAGGUAAGUUUUACCUCCUUUCCCCCUUCCAGAGCCGGGCAGGAGGGGGACCCUGAGGGUGGGGGCACCCUCAGGGCACUAUAGUGCCAGGAAAACGAGUAUGUUUUCCUGGCACUAUAGUGGUCCUUUAAAAUUGUAUACAGUGUAACAUUCUUCAAUCUUACACUGGGUAAGUAUAUUAGUUCUUAGGCAAUACUGUGCUUCGGAACUUCGGCACUUUGACACUUCGGAACGUCGGCACUUCAGCACUUUGGAAAUUCAGUAAUUUCGGAACUUCGACAAUUCGGCAAUUCAUCUAUUCGGACAUUCGGAACUUUCUCAAAAUUCGUCCAAAUUCACAUUCGGACCGAAACAAAUUGCACAUGUCUAGUAAUCUGGGUGUAUUUAGGUCUUCACCUUCCUUGAAGACUGAGUGGGCUAUAUCUCUAUCCUAGUUCACCAUUAUCCUAUACUUGGGACGUAUGGCUCAAAAAAGCUGAUAUUUGGCACCCAGAGUUAACCAUUACAUUAUGGCAAUAUCUUUAUCAGAUGAUAUGGUACAAAAACAAAGUCAUGGUGAAAAUAUCUUACCUCUAUAGAGGACAGCCUUUCCACGAUGGCAGUCAAAAUCCUGCUUUCUCAUUGGCUUAUGUUAAACUUUUUAUUUAUUAUUAUUUUUAACUCUUAUUUCAAAUAUGCCAAAACAUUCCCUUAUGUCCUUGGAACGUCAAUAUGUUUAUUGAAUAGUGCAUGUGUCAAAAGGUAUAUUCAUAUUGAAUGGCAUUGUGAGAAAUACACCACGUAUUCAAGUAAAAGUGUGGUCACAGAACAGACAAUAUAAAAAACUUUUAUUAUGGUAUUUGAUUAAAACUAUAAUUAUAAUAUGAUUGAUUUGUGAUGUAAAAUAUAAUUCAAGGUGCAUUGUAAAGACAUCCUUUUUUUUCAUUAUAAAAUGAAAACAUGACAGAAUAAAAAGUAGUAAAAAGC